GCGAACGGGUGAGUAACACGUGGGUGAUCUGCCCUGCACUUCGGGAUAAGCCUGGGAAACUGGGUCUAAUACCGGAUAUGACCAAGGACUGCAUGGUUUUUGGUGGAAAGGUUUACUGGUGCAGGAUGAGCCCGCGGCCUAUCAGCUUGUUGGUGGGGUAAUGGCCUACCAAGGCGACGACGGGUAGCCGGCCUGAGAGGGCGACCGGCCACACUGGGACUGAGACACGGCCCAGACUCCUACGGGAGGCAGCAGUGGGGAAUAUUGCACAAUGGGCGAAAGCCUGAUGCAGCGACGCCGCGUGAGGGAUGACGGCCUUCGGGUUGUAAACCUCUUUCAGCAGGGACGAAGCGCAAGUGACGGUACCUGCAGAAGAAGCACCGGCCAACUACGUGCCAGCAGCCGCGGUAAUACGUAGGGUGCGAGCGUUGUCCGGAAUUACUGGGCGUAAAGAGCUCGUAUGCGGUUUGUCGCGUCGUCUGUGAAAACCCGCAGCUCAACUGCGGGCUUGCAGGCGAUACGGGCAGACUUGAGUACUGCAGGGGAGACUGGAAUUCCUGGUGUAGCGGUGAAAUGCGCAGAUAUCAGGAGGAACACCGGUGGCGAAGGCGGGUCUCUGGGCAGUAACUGACGCUGAGGAGCGAAAGCGUGGGUAGCGAACAGGAUUAGAUACCCUGGUAGUCCACGCCGUAAACGGUGGGCGCUAGGUGUGGGUUUUCCU
rnacentral:rRNA from 1 species